CAAGUGUUAUGAAUAUUGUGGGAAGAAGGAUCCAUAUCAGCUGGGGGAAUCUGAAUUACUCAUCUUACUUGAGGACAAAAGCGGGUUUGAACUCCAGGGAGGAUGAGACUGGCCUACACACUUCAGUGGUCUCUACCGGGGCCGAUACAGACAUCACUAAUCAAUGACUAACUCCAUAUUUCUUGCAGAGCUCAGACUUGGUCUCAGGAUUCUUUUCACGUAGUGCUUCUGACAGGCAACAGCAGUCGAAUGGAUUUGGCAUUUGAGGUAACAGCCUAUCCUUCGCUUCUGUGGUUAAAGUAUUGAUCACAACAAAAUGGCAUCAGACAAACCAUGAAGAGAAGAAAGAGUUGAACUUGAGUGCCGCCUUUUCCUCUUCCUUGCUGCCUGGGGUGUUCUGGCUGGUUUAGCUGUACUCUCUAGACACCCUAAAUCCUGCAGUAGCUAGAAUCUCCACGCCUAACACAUCUGAGGCAAUCCAUCAAGGAAAAACAAUAGAGAGGCUGAUCCUCCCAGGGCAACAGUGUAAAGAUCUGAAGUCCAUAUUCUAGGGAUAAGUGUCCAGUGCAAGCAAGAAGGCCGAAGAACUGGUGUUUCAAAAGGGACUGCACUAAUAUUCAGGGAUGAGAUCCUGGCUAGCAUCCAUAAGUGAUGGAAGUUAUUGAGAAUUUCUACACUUCCCUGCACAUGAAGAGACAUCUCCAGAAAUACUAUGGAAAAUAAAGCUCAUUCUGAAGAAUUCUUCUUUGUGGCCAACAUGGGAAACUGACCUGUCACCAUCAUCCUCAAGACCCAGCUAAGAGCUCUGUCUUCUAGACAUCCUUCAAUUGGGCAGGUCUCCUGGCCUCUUCCUUGUCCUACCCUGAUCCAGCAUGCAUUUUACACAAAGAGUGAGCUUUCCACAGAGCCAAGCACGCCAUGCUUAUUGCCUGCUUAGAGAUACCCUUCUGUGGCUUUCCAUCGUGGGGGAAGUGGAUCCGGACUCUGUCGAGCACUUAACCUCUGCCCCCGCCCCUCUGCACAUCAGAUCAAUCUCCUCGGACCCCCUUUCUCCAGGAAGUAUCCUGAGCUGCCAAGCUCUCCUUCUUGGGCCCUGUUGGGGGAUGGCGUGACGUCAUAUCAAUUGGAGUUCAGCGUAAAUCUUGCUCUUCCAAUCUCCUCCCCAUCAUUAACCUGUGUAUUCACUUUGCUGAUCCUAUUUCUUGUUCAAUUUUGCCUUGCUACAAUGGCAGCCCCAGAAUUCAGGGUCUCUUGUUUCAUUCACUGCUGUAUCACUAUGUGCCCAGCCCUGAGUCUGGCACAUAGUAGGCACCCAACAAAUAGGGAUGUGACCAAGGAAUUCCUUGUGGCCCCUUUCCUGUCACUUUCUCUAGAGAUAGGCUGUAGUGCUGGUGCAGCUUGCUGAGCGAAGGUUGAACCUGCGGACUGUCCAAUGCGAUAGUUUCUUGUGACAGAACAGUUUUUAAAGCUGCUCCUGUGUUAACUAUAGCGGUUCUUCUCUCUGCUGGGAUGGACUGGGGGAGGUUGAAAUGGCAGAGAAGCCCUUCUGAGGAAUGAAAAUGCAAUAGGACCCCAGCUGCCUUCCUAAAGCCACUUUGAAUCCUUGAUGCUUUGAGACAAUUGGGAGAGCAGAGGGAGAAGCGGCUGAUAAUUAUCCGAUCCAAAGCAGCGGUUUGGGCUUCGUAGUGCUGACACUGUUUGCAACUAAUUAAGAAAUCUUAACAUUACUCAAGACAGAUAAAACUGAAAUGGAAUAUAAGGGACUUUGGAUAUCUGUAAUAAGCUUAAAGAUAAGUACUAAGAAGCAGGUCCCUGAUGGGAUAGUUUGCCUUAGAAACACCAGGAACCUUCAAACGGAUUUGUCCUCAGACAUUGGAUAGAACCACAUUGGUGCUGAAGUAGUCACCUGCCCCUGUUUACAUGGGAAAUUAUUCACAGCCCCCCCCCCCAAAUACUUAUUGUAUUGAGGGAGACUAGACCCUUAAGAUUUCGCAUGACUGGGCUGCACUUAAAACUCCUUACUGAGCAGUCUGGAGAGAUGGCUCAGCCAUGAAGAGCAUGCCACCACUCUUGCAGAGGACUGGAGUUCAGUUCCCAGCACCCAUG